GGAGAAGGGCUGUAGCUCAGUGGUUGUGCAUCUGCUUUGAAUGCAGAAGGUUUCAGGUUCAAUCCCCGGCAUCUCCA